rnacentral:rRNA from 1 species
AUCAUGAGUUCACAUGUCCGCAUGAUUAAAGGUAUUUUCCGGUAGACGAUGGGGAUGCGUUCCAUUAGGUAGUAGGCGGGGUAACGGCCCACCUAGUCAACGAUGGAUAGGGGUUCUGAGAGGAAGGUCCCCCACAUUGGAACUGAGACACGGUCCAAACUCCUACGGGAGGCAGCAGUGAGGAAUAUUGGUCAAUGGGCGAUGGCCUGAACCAGCCAAGUAGCGUGAAGGAUGACUGCCCUAUGGGUUGUAAACUUCUUUUAUAAAGGAAUAAAGUCGGGUAUGCAUACCCGUUUGCAUGUACUUUAUGAAUAAGGAUCGGCUAACUCCGUGCCAGCAGCCGCGGUAAUACGGAGGAUCCGAGCGUUAUCCGGAUUUAUUGGGUUUAAAGGGAGCGUAGAUGGAUGUUUAAGUCAGUUGUGAAAGUUUGCGGCUCAACCGUAAAAUUGCAGUUGAUACUGGAUGUCUUGAGUGCAGUUGAGGCAGGCGGAAUUCGUGGUGUAGCGGUGAAAUGCUUAGAUAUCACGAAGAACUCCGAUUG